rnacentral:rRNA from 1 species
ACACUAACUGGAGGACCGAACCGACUAAUGUUGAAAAAUUAGCGGAUGACCUGUGGCUGGGGGUGAAAGGCCAAUCAAACCGGGAGAUAGCUGGUUCUCCCCGAAAGCUAUUUAGGUAGCGCCUCGUGAAUUCAUCUCCGGGGGUAGAGCACUGUUUCGGCUAGGGGGCCAUCCCGGCUUACCAACCCGAUGCAAACUGCGAAUACCGGAGAAUGUUAUCACGGGAGACACACGGCGGGUGCUAACGUCCGUCGUGAAGAG